AGUCAAGUACAAGACACUGAAGACGACCUUACAGUUGAGGUCGAAAUACGUAUCUGUCAGAGGAUGCAAAUUCUUAGUGGAAUUCAAAGGAACCGUACUUAACCCGAUAUUCUUUUUAUUUAAAAAAAACGUAUUUUUAUAUUUGCGAGGGUGCUCACUGCUCAUACUAGGAGUUAAAAAUAAUGUUUGAUCUCAUGACCUGGUUACUCAGUGCGUUUUUUGGAGUAACCUUGAUGAUACUGAGAAUAUAUCGACUCGAUAUACAGGGUGUUAGGUUCGUGAGUGCAAACUUUUUAAAGGGUGAUAGAGGACCACAAAUAGUGAAAAAAAUGUUCUACGCAUAUGGUCAAAUCUCAACCGUUGCGUAGUUACUGAACUUUCCAUGCUUUUGACUAUUAUUACCUUAACUGGCUACAACUUGAAAAUGGUCAAACUUUUCGCAGUUUUUUGACCCUUAUUCAAAAGAUUACUGAAUUUUCCAUGAAAUGGCAUCUUCGAAUCGUUUGGUUUAGUUAAAUAACUAAGUUUUCUAGAGCAAAUAGCUCAAAAGUAGCGUGUUUUAAUUUGUUUUUGUCAAUUAUUCAAUUAUCUUUGAAAAAUGCGUAAUAAUAUUACAGUCGAACCUCCAUGAGUCGAUGUUCCUUGACUCGAUAUCGACUCAUGGAGGUAAAUUUUUCCAUACUGAAAAAUAAUUUCUGGGUUACUAUGAUGGUCCCCCCAAAAAGCUUCCCAAAGGAUUUUUGUUCCACUACUCGAUAUUUCCUUGAGUCGAUGGUCCCUUCAAUAUCGACUCAUGGAGGUUUUACUGUAAAUUCUUUCUUAGGCGAAGCUGUGGCACCUGUUUUACUCUACAAUUUGUUCUUAGACACUGCUCUUAUCGUUUUCUUGCAAUUUCGAUUUAAACAUCGCAUUUCAGAUCAUAAAUUUGCAACUGUCAAGGUAAGCACUUUUUUGCGCACUGUGUCGCACAUUUUAAUCUAAAUUGCAAGAAAACGAUAAGAGCUAGAAGUUUGGUGUCAAACAACGAAUUGUAGAGUGGAACAGGGGCCACAAUUUUGUCCAAGAAAGAAUUAUAAUUUAUUACGCAUUUUUCAAAGAUAAUUGUCAAAAACAAAUUAAAACACACUAUUUUUGAGCUAUUUGCUCUAGAAAAUUUAGUUAUUUAACUAAACCAAUCGAUUCAAAGAUGCCAUUUGAUAGAAUAUUCAAUACUCUUUCGAAUAAGGGCCAAAAAGUGCGAUAAGUUUGCCAGUUAAGGCAAUAAUAAUCAAAAACAUGGAAAGUUCAAUAACUAGGUACGUAACGGUUGAGAAUUGAUCAUAUGCGUAGAACAAUUUUUCACCAUUUAUGGUUCUCUAUCACCCUUAAAAAAGUUUACACUCACGAACCUAACACUUUGUAUAUAAUGCUGAAUCAUUUAAAGAUUUUCGUAAAUGUCAUAUGUAACCAACUCUACAUAGAAACUAUGAAUUAUGAGUAAACACCAUUACUUGUAACGACGGACUGAACAAACUGUAGCUCACAGCUAACAACAAAUAUAUACUUAAGGAAUUGAACAAAUCGCCUUUAUGUAAGUAGUGUGCUAAAAGUGGGUGUAGUUCUUCUAAUCAGCAUUUUCAGCAGUUGACUUUUUGCCUUUUUUGACUUUUUUUACGUUGUUUCCAUUUGUUCAUUCGUAUAUGUAACUUUGGAAAUUUCACCAAUGUUACGUCAAAGCGUUUUAUUACAUUUUUUCUCUGUGCAUCGAACGAGCGCGAGAAACGGCCCUCCAUUCAGCAUCAAUCAAUCGACGGACGACGGCAGAUAUAAGUGGUUCUUCGAUUCCGUCGACGACCGGGCUGGCACGGGUAGGGCGGAGCGACGACGAUCUCCAAGUGGAGUCACCCGAUCAAACACAAGGCUUGUGCCGGCCGCCAAACACUCCGACCAGCCAGCCCUCCAACCAAUCAACCAACCACAGCCACCCGAAAUAAUUAUAGUUCAAUUAAACCCAUUUUAAGCUCCGAUCUCCAAUCCAUCAACUCCAUUAAUAGAGACCCCGGCCCCGGGUCAGUGUUUUCAGGCCCCUUCUUGUCAAAUUAGGACGUCUAAUGUUUUCACUUUCAAUUUACGGCCGCUUUCGUCACUCGGCGGAAUUUCGUCCCAACAGAUUGAGGUUGAACCUGUCGUCGUCGCCGUCGUCGGUCGUCCGCCGUCUACCUAUGAUGAUGAUGGGGUCCUCUCGCGCAACGCGAAUCAAUCUCCUCAAUGCCGAAGGGGGCAUAUGGAGCGGUGGACAAAGAGCGAGGUACCUGUUGUCACCGCGAUGGACCUGUUGUCGUCGUCGUUGUCGGCUCGGUGAUUGGAUUUCAGGCAUUUCAGGACUCGCGGACGGCCGGUUGUGCGUGUGCUGGUGUGGUGAAGUUUCGAAACCUGGCGGCUUUCAGCUACAACUACAACUGACGAAUGAUUUUGAUUAUUGGGCUUUCCGCUGAUUGAUUUUUUUUCUCUGUCUUCUCGAGUGGACUUGAUAGGACCCAGCCAAAGUGAGCGACAGGUGGAACAAAUUAGUCGGGCUUUUUAAAGUCAUCUGAUGGAUUGGUUGGCAAGUGAAAAAAUAAUAAUAAAUCGAUGCUUUCAAGGUCAUUUUUAGUGCAGGAGAAUGAGAUUGAAAGUUUUGAUAAAUAAGCCUGCACUGGACAGGCUAAUAAAAGUUUGAACGAAAACAUUUUAUAAAAUCUAACUUCAAAACAGAAUAACCCUGGCAUUCUGGUGACAGAAAAGUGGUUACUUUUUGCCUACACUUUCUGGUCACAUUGGAAUUGAAGGCAAUGAAAAAGCAGACCGAGAAGAAUGGUGACAGUUCUAGGAACAACACAUUGACACGACUAUUGGAGCAAACCCAGAAAAAACUUGUAGAGGCAUUCCUUGAAAAACUACCGGAGGAUAUGCUCACGUAAUAUUAGAGGAAUUUCUGAAUAAAGUUUAUCACAAAAAAGUAGUUCUGGAGUAUUUCCAUAAAAAAAUCAUAAAAAUAAACUUUUGAAGAAAUUCCGUUAUAAACUUCUGGGUGAUUUCCAUUAGGAGCAUCUUACAGAAUCGCAGAAGAAUCUGCAAACAUUGCACAAGGAAUUCCUUGAGAAUCUGACAUUCCUCUUGAAGUUCUUGAGGAAUUCACGAAAAAAUUUCCUGGAUAAAUCCCAGAACAACAUAAACUCCGGAAAGAGUUCAAGCUGGAAGCGUAGAAAAGGCUCUUAGAGGAAUCUUGCAAGACUUUCUUGAAGAAAUAAUUCUGUGAGAAAUCCGAGAAGGUACUUCUAGAGAAAUCACAGAAAAAAACACCUCUUGAAGGAAUGUCAUAAAAACCUUCUGGAACAAUAUUGAAGGAAGCUCCGUAACGAAUCUUAUAAAAACGCCCUCAUUAUGGUUGACGAUAGAAUCCCAGCAAUAUCUUUAUUUAAGAGGUUUUCAGCUUGAGAGCUGGUUCGCCUCCUUAGAAAUAGUGAAACUCAAAUUUUAUUGUACAAAUUAACAUCUUUUAGAAAUUGUAGUAAUUUUAGCUCGUCUUCUUCAUUAUUGCUUAACAUAUCCCUGAUUGUAGUCCGUAGCUUCAAUCUUGAACGCGCUUCCUCAUAUUGUUGGCAGUCUGCUAAUAUGUGCUCUACGGUCAGAGGGACCAUACAGCAUGGACAAGUUGGUUUGCUAUUGGAGGAUAUGUAGUGAUCAUGCGUUACUUUUGUGUCCAUUUAAACAAUGUUUAAACCAAGGGUACCAAUGCCUUUCGGGUCUGCAGCAAAGCCAUAGGAAAAACCUGGGGUCUUAGACCUAACAUGAUUCACUGCAUCUAUGCUGCAAUAGUCCGGCCUAAGAUUACUUAUGCUUCACUUGUUUGGUGGCCCAAAACAAAUGAGGUAACCUCUCAAAAGAAGCUAAGUAAGCUACAAAGACUUGCUUGUACAUCUAUGACAGGAGCAAUGAAAAGCACUCCAUCAGUUGCUUUGGAUGCCCUUCUCAAUAUGCUGCCAUUGCAUCAAUUUGUUAAACUACAAGCGGCAAAAAGUACCCUGCAGUUUAUACGUUGCACUAAAGUCCUAGACGGGGAUCUUGUUGGACAUUUGAGAAUCAUCAAAGACUUCAAAUUAAACAUGGGCAUAAAAACAGUAGAAGAUUGGAUGAUAACGAAGACCAACUAUGAUGUUCCCUUCAAAGUGGUCCCAUGUCGCUAUGUUUGAGAUGCUGGUGGGCCAAGUUUACGUCCAGGUUCUAUUGUAUUUUGUACUGAUGGGUCAGAGAUGGGAGAAAAUACUGGAGCUGACGUUUUUGGCCCCGGUAUCAGAAAGGCUAUACCAAUGGGAUGCAGUCCCACUGUAUUUCAAGCGGAAGUUCAAGCCAUUCUAGAGUGCACCAACAUUUGUCUGAAAAGAAAUUAUAGGUUUGCCAAGAUCUGUAUUUUUUCGGACAGUCUGGCGACUCUAAAUGCGCUAAAAGCUUUCACUUGUCAAUCAAAGCUAGUGUGGGAAUGCAUUAUUUCUCUGAAGCAAUUGUCCAGUAGGAACGAGGUAACUUUAUACUGGGUGCCCGGAUAUUGUGGAAUUCUGGGAAAUGAAAACGCCGACAAAUUAGCCAGACAGGGGAGUUUCCUCUAGUAGACCGAGUACCCGUAGACGGUAAGUGCAAGAAAGUGCUUCUUGUUUGAGAUGAAUGUGUAGUGGGGCAACGUGAAAGAGAACUUCGAGCGCUGCCGUCGGAGUUGAAGAGAACGCUCCAGACAUCGCCAUUAAGCACAUCCUUUGGUGAUGGCCUAAUUUUGAUUGGACUGUUCUUACUUCGCCCUUUUGCCACCACACAAGACAUCCAUAAACCAAUAUUGGACGAACAACAGUUGUGUAAAUCCAUUUGAUAUACUUGGGUUUAAGACCCCAAGUUGUUCAGUCACAUUGAUUUCAGAAUCAAAAAGACGUAAAGGUCGAACACCAUUACGGUUUCGCUUUUCCGUGAAAAGAACAAUAGAUAUUUUACUCGGAUUUACCGAAAGGCCAUAUUGGCGACACCAACCCUCAACUACCUGAAGAGUGUUUUGCAUCAGGUCGAAAAGGGUGCUCAUGCACAUACCGACUAACAAUGUCGUCGGCAAAACCAUAAGUAGGAAAACCGCUAUUAUUGAGUUGCCUCAAUAGCGUAUCUGCUACAAGAUUCCACAAAAGUGGUGAUACGACUCCCCCUUGGGGGCAUCCACAAACACUCAAUUUCCUAAUCGCCGCUUGACGCAAUGUCGAGAAGAGAUGCCGGUUUUUGAGCAUUUGGUGAAUCCAACUGGAAAUCAUUGGAGAUAUACCAUGACCCCGUGCAGCUUCCAAUAUGGCAUCGAAAGGCACGUUGUCAAAGACAUCCUCGAUAUCUAAGAAAACACAAAAGCAGGAUUACUUUUGAGCGAAUGCCUUCUCGAUAUCGUAAACAACUUUGUGUAAAAGAGUCACAGUGGACUUUCCAGAUUGGUAAGCAUGUUGGUUCGCAUGAAGAGGCACAUUGGCGAGAUGAACAUCACGGAUGUGAUGAUCGACAAUACGUUCUAAGAAUUUCAGAAGAAAAGAGGUCGAACUGAUAGGUCUGAAGCUCUUUGCUUCUUCAUACGACUCACGACCCACUUUUGGAAUAAACUGUUCAGUAAUAUCCCGCCAGGAAUUGAGAAUACACCCUGUAGCAAAACUGCAAAUAAGUAGUUGUUUUAAAACAUGUUUGAAAUGAUCAAAUCCCUUCUGAAGCAAAAUAGGAUAAAUCCCGUCUGCCCCAGGAGAUUUGAAAGGAGCAAAGCUCUUUGGUGCCCGUUCAAUUGAUUCUAAAGUAACGAUACUCCGAGCCGAAGUUAAAGAAUCAUAACUACAAGAAAAGACAUCAGGUUCAUCCGAAGAUGUAAUAUCCACACAUCCGGGGAAGUGUGUACUGAAUAAACAUUCCAAAACUUCCUCAUCAGAGGAAGUGAAAUCACCAUUUGGCAAACGAAGUUCGUUCACUUGAAAAUCCUUAGAUUUUGCAAGGAUUUUGUUCAAUCGACUGGCUUCACUCAGACUGGAAACAUUUGUACAAAGGUUUUUGCAGCCGGAUCGUUCAGCAGACCGAAGAGCUUUCUGGUAGGCCUUGCGAGCCGACCUGAAAGCCUCCGAUCCAGCCGAACGUCGCCUGCUCCAACUUUUUCUACAUUGUUUGCUGAGCUUCGCCAGAUCAGAGUUCCACCAAGGGGUUCCCCUUGUGGUCUUCACAGACCGCAGAGGGCAAGCUUCUUCAAAAGCUUCCAUGAUAGUAUCAACGGCAUCAUCUAAAUCAUUUGGAUUGUCAAUGGAUGGUGAGUAUCCAUGAAAUUUGGCUGCAACCAAAUGGGUAAAGAGAUCCCAGUUGGUUUACCGGGGGUUCCUGAAACGCAAAGUUUGCGAAGUAAUAUUCACAGUUUAAACAAGAUGUAGCGAUGGUCAGAUAAAGAUUCUUCAUCUGACACAUGCCAAUUGGUCAGCUCGUGAUUAAUUCUGCUAGAGCAAAGCGUUAUGUCUAACACUUCCUCUCUAGCAGAUACCAUAAAGGUUGGGCGGUUGCCUAUGUUAAGUAAUCCGAGAUCUGUACUACUUAAGUAUUCCAUCAAACUGGAGCCUCUCAAAUUGAUGUCUGUGCUGCCCCAAAUCAUAUGGUGAGCAUUAGCAACACUACCAACAAUUAGCGGAAGGCCUUUUGAAGUGCAGUAUGCAAUGACUUGCUUGAAAGCAAUCGUAGGGGAUGGUUCAUCAUGCGGUAAAUACACCGAACAAUAAACGUAUUUCCUGUUGAGGUUUCCAACAGAUACAUCGAUUGUGAUAGCACAUUCAUCUUUAGUAGUUAGUUCAAAGAUGAGUGUAGCAACGAUUGCGUUGUUGACAAGCACACAUGCUCGAGGCAUGACACGCGAGUUUGCCAUUUCAUUUUUACUGAAAGUAGCAAACACCGGAUUCACAAGGUUUCCUAGAUAGAAAUUCCCUUUACGAAAGUAAGGUUCUUGGACUAACGCCACUUGGGCUGUACCAUUUUGCAUAAGUCUACAAAGAUUGAUGGUUGCUGUUCUUUUGUGCUGAAGAUUGAUCUGAGCUAUCCUAACCGUAGUCACUACCCAAACUAGGCAAGAUUAAACUCUUAACAAUCACAGCACAAAAAAGAACAGCAACAAUUAAGCCAGAAAAAUUGGUUGACUGAAACGCAAAAUAUUUGAAUUUUGAUAAAUUCCUUUUUUUUACUGUGGGUAUCGAUGUUCAGGUAAAAAUCAAAAACUGUUCCACUUAAAAAAAAAUUAAACACGGUCUCGAAAUCAGCACGUUAAUGUAUUAAAAGUGUAGGUCAUUGCUAGAAGUUUACACUUUUCGUUUUAUUUUGUAAAUUAGUGUUAUUAGACACAGCAUAAGUUAAGUUAAAUCCUGAUCACAUGCAAACAUUCAAUACCACCAUUCUGUUCCUUUGUAACUUUAGUCCUUUUCGACGCCCCUCUGAGACUGGCGCCCUUGGUGGAGGCCUACCUGGACAACCACAUGCUAUUGCUCUGCCAAAUGGUCCCACACACUAGUAUGCUGUUGAUGUGAAUAUAAACUCCCUGAUUUGUUACGUCAACAUUUGGUUUCUAGCAGGCAAACAAAGAAAUCGUAGAGUCAUCGCAAUGGUCAUGUGAAGAAAAACUACUGCGUAAUAUGUGUACAUAGAUGCUCGCUUGCAAAUAUUAUUGUUUAUUCAAAAGAAAUUAGAUUGAUUCAACAAUAAGAAACAAGUUCAACCAUCAGAAAGUUUUUUUUUAUUACAGGCACUCUUCGCUAUAACGUACAUAUACAUUUUCCUUUUGUACGUUAUAUCUAAGCAGGAGAAAAAUAUAUAUUUUUGAUACUAGUGUUGAUGAAAUUUCGGUGAAAUUAAUAAAACCAAUUAUGAAAAACAUGAGUUUUCACGAAAAAGUUGUUUCGUUUUUUGGACUUUUAUUUCCUAAUAUGCGUUAAUUCUGGGUAACAACGCUAAUGCUGCAACAAGACGUUGAAUUGAGUGAUUUCGUAGUUUAUUUGGAGGAAAGUGCUGGAAAAAAUAAGCUUUUACUGUUGUACGUUAUAUCGAAUUUGCAAUAUCAAAAGUACGCUAUAUCGAGGAAACGGUAUAUCGAAGAUUACAUGUAUUAUAUUUUCUAUGAUGUUUGUAAUUGAGCAAUGUGUAGCGGUUCAAACCCGAUCACUACAGUUUGCAGCAGUUUCAAAAUCAGUAGAUUCACAACAUUCACCACCCAAGCUAAAUAGCAGUAAAACAGCUGUUUGCUUUUUUGUAUGUGUAUUAUUGUUCUAAUUAAAAUGUUUUCCAUUUGUAUUCAAAGAGCUUAGGCACACUUUUGCAUUCGGUGAGUAGUUUUUCGUUUAUCGGCAAUAAUUUUGACGUUGUACAGUGACAGUUAAAAAGUGUCAAUGCUCUUUGAAACUUAUAGUUCGUCUAUCCUGUGUAGUUCACUAACCAACAGUUUAUUAUUGAGCUUUAUCGAAAAAUAGUCAAAUCAGCAGUUUCCAGUUAAAUUAGUAUGAUCCGAAAGGUGAAUCAGAGAGAUUCCUCCAAUCCCUAUUAAAAACCACACUGUCCGUUGAGAUUCUUAAGAAGCAGAGGUUUUCCUUGCUAAUUGACUGUAAGUUAACUGACCAUCAUUCAUUUGGAUGUCAAUCUUAACUUCUGCCGGUUCAGAUGAAACACGAUGCAGCAAACAUUACAGUCAUUGUUAAGUCAGCUAAGCAUAGCAAAGAUAGGAUACCACACUAAUCUAAAAUCUAGAAAUCUUAUUUCUUUGAUAUAGUUAAAUACAAACUAUGAUGUUUAAAUGGUAAAUUCAAGUAACAAAAGAAAAAAAAACACAUAUUUUAUGUAACUUGAUUAACGAUUUGUCGUAGAUAACAGAUAUCCCCAAGGAUAUGCGUUUGCUGAACUUGUUACGCAGAUUCAAGACAACAAAAUUAAUAUCCAACUAUCCACAUCACAUAAUUCAAAACCAUAACUAAAACACAUCAAGAAAACAAUCUUCACCCGCAAGCCGUCCGAUAACCUCCAUCUGAUAGCACAGUAUAUGAAAAACGCCACUUUAUAGGAUAACAUUCACUACAAAUUAAUAAUACAGCGAAAUAAAACUGUCCAAUCAGUCCGCUCUACACGCUUGUAGUACAUACCUUCGCUAUGCUGGGAUCGAUAUCUCGACAGCCCUCGGUAGUUAAGUUCCUUCUCUGCAAUCCUCGCCGCAAACGCUCCGAUCAAUAAUUUAAUUUUUCGAUAAGUAUCUGUUAACUGUGCUUCUUGUGGUUCUUCUCGGUCUCCCGUUUUCGCUUUCCGUACUUCUGUUUUUAUUUUGAUUCUCUUUUUUU